GGUUGUGUAGUGUAGUGGUUAUCACUUUGGAUUUUGAUUGCCUUCAAGCCUUCCAAUAACCCCGGUUCGAACCCGGGCACGACCU